CUCCCCUUGGUGUAGUUGGUUAUCGCGUCCGACUGUAAUUGAAGUCGGUUUCUGUCUCAACAGAAGCUCUGGUGUAUGCCAUCGGAAGGUCCCUAGUUCGAUUCUGGGAGGGGAGA